rnacentral:rRNA from 1 species
AACGAACGCUGGCGGCAGGCCUAACACAUGCAAGUCGAGCGAAGCCUUCGGGCUUAGCGGCGGACGGGUGAGUAACGCGUGGGAACGUGCCCUUUGCUACGGAAUAGCCCCGGGAAACUGGGGGUAAUACCGUAUGUGCCCUUCGGGGGAAAGAUUUAUCGGCAAAGGAUCGGCCCGCGUUGGAUUAGGUAGUUGGUGGGGUAAUGGCCUACCAAGCCGACGAUCCAUAGCUGGUUUGAGAGGAUGAUCAGCCACACUGGGACUGAGACACGGCCCAGACUCCUACGGGAGGCAGCAGUGGGGAAUCUUAGACAAUGGGGGAAACCCUGAUCUAGCCAUGCCGCGUGAUCGAUGAAGGCCUUAGGGUUGUAAAGAUCUUUCAGUGGGGGAGAUAAUGACUGUACCCACAGAAGAAGCCCCGGCUAACUCCGUGCCAGCAGCCGCCGUAACAC